rnacentral:rRNA from 1 species
UACGUAGGGCGCAAGCGUUGUCCGGAAUUAUUGGGCGUAAAGAGCUCGUAGGCGGUUUGUCGCGUCUGCUGUGAAAACCUAAGACUCAACCUUGGGCUUGCAGUGGGUACGGGCAGACUAGAGUGCGGUAGGGGUGACUGGAAUUCCUGGUGUAGCGGUGAAAUGCGCAGAUAUCAGGAGGAACACCGAUGGCGAAGGCAGGUCUCUGGGCAUUAACUGACGCUGAGGAGCGAAAGCAUGGGGAGCGAACAGG